rnacentral:tRNA from 1 species
GGGGAUGUAGCUCAGUGGUAGAGCACUUGCUUAGCAUGCACUAGGCGCUGGGUGCAAUCCCAGCACCACAA